UGUUAAAGCUUCAACCUCAAUCACCUGAGGCCUUGAUGCCAUCCUUUUGAAUUUUACCUUGGACUUCAAUUGUUUCCCUCUUACUGUAGAGGCUCUGGUAGCGUUUUUGGUCCUUCUUGUUGAGCUUUAUCAGUCCUGCUUAUCUGGAAGUGUGCACGUCUACUACUCUGGAAGCAUGCUGAAUGAGCUACUGAUACCACUGUAGCUUUGGCACUUGAGAGAGAAAAAUAUUUUGAUAGUUUGAACCUGAAUCUUGAGGUAGCUUCUAAGUUUCUUAUCCCGGUGUAACUAGAAUUUGAAUAUUGGUAGAUUUAGUUUGUAGGAUUCUACACGCUUAUGGUAAUGUGUUUAUAAUGAGGCCUGUGAUCUGCUUGCUUUUUCUUGUUUGUUUAGCUGAUCCAGAAUGAUAUUCUUCUUUUUU
rnacentral:lncRNA from 1 species